CGCGCGUUGCGAGCCUCUCUGGUGGCGAUCGAAACGCUCUAGGUAUUUUCUUGAUCCCCUGGUCUUUAGAGGAUCCAUUUUGUGCCGAAUUAUGUGAGUGGCAUAGAAACAGGAUGUGUCAGUGCAAAGGACUAACCACAAGGGUCUCCCUGUGGUCCACGUUUUUAAUAGAAUGACGCUACGUAUAUGCUUAGUAGUACAACACUGCUUGCUCGUCGCUCAUGAUUUGAGCCCCCUGUGUUUCACCCUCACGUGGAGAAGCGGCUUGAGAAAAGUUUUGUUCGAUGGUAUAUUGGCUGGUAUUGGUUUGUGGCUGUCCUCUUCGGCAGGCGUUGGCAAACUUCAACGAUGCUCUUUGAAGGAACCAGAGGUAAUCGGAGAGGUGUGAGCUCGAGUCCCACUGCUACCGCUUUGUUCCUUUCGUCAGGUGCCGUUCUGUAAUCGAGGCAUGUAACUCCAGAGAAUUUGUUAGGCUCCAGAAAAGGUUAUACAUGGUUGUAUCUAACGUCUGAUUUGAGAGCCAAGCAUUCAACAUACUGAACCAUCGAGGCGUCACAUGUGCCAGAUCUUGGCUUCGUGCUUUUUCCUUCGUAUUUUUCCUCUUUCUUUCUUUCUUUUUUUUUUGUGUGUGUGUGUGUGUGUGACUCAUUGUUUGCCCGCGAUGGCCCGUGAGACGACACUUUGGAUAUCGACCGUCAAGCUCCGAAAUUUCAAGGAUGACGUGCUGAUAUCUACGUUUACUCCAAUCGAUAUUGCAGCUUUGCGAAGGACUUCGUCCGGGGGGACCACAAUAGAAGUCUUCGCCUUGGAAGUAACUGAAGAUUGAAACGCAUAGAGCGGUUUCUCAGCGUGAAAAUGUCGCGGGUGUUGUUGUGCUAUUAUCGUUCACCCGUUCACACAUUCCGGUGAUGUUGUUAUAAACGCUUUGUGUGCGUCA